AAAAAUAAGACCAGAUGAGUCGGAGGGCCCAAGGCGACGUGGCAGGAGGGACUCUGACCUCAUCCUGGGGGUGAGGGCUGUGGACCAGUUCUGCUCUGGGUACCUUGUGGCCCCCCCAGGGGCUCUUCCCUGGACAGACACCCGAAGCUCCUGCUGCUGAAACCCGAGGAGCUGGCCCCUCGGCCUCCCCGUCCCUACUCAGUCCCCGCAGCCUGGCCUCUGCAUCUUCCAGGUCUGGUUCAGCCUCGUCAGCAGCGGAACGACCCCUGUCCCCAGGGGACCUGCUUUUGCAGGAGGGCAGGCGACAGGUGGGAGCGCCCUGGGGACGCUGCUCCUCACAAUGGCCCGUCUCUCCGCAGCCUCCCUCUGGCCUCUGCCCUCACCCCCCUCACUGUGGGCCUGGGCGCAGGGGGCUGAGGGUGUAGGUCUGGGAAUCAGCCGCACCCCGGUUCCCUCAUCCGUGAGCCAGGGUGGGCACUAGGAGCCUGCGUGUCGUGUGCGUGGCAAGCGCUUGUCCCACGGCCAGGGCAGCACGCGUGUCCUGUGGGUGCAGACGGUCUGCCAUUUCCAGCAGGUUCCUUCCACCUGGCCCUGCUCCUCCCGCUUGGGGCACAGCCCCCCAGGAGGCGUGACAGCGACCUGAGCUAGAGGGCCAGGUGGCCCCGCUCACCACACAACAGCUCGCAAAUGGGUGAAGAGGAAGGCGGGGCACCCCGGGGUGGGGGUGGGGGGGUGCGAAGGCCCCAGGGCUCCUCCUUCCUCUGGCGGGCGGGCGCAGACUUCUACCGUCUGGCACUCUGUGGGGGGUGGGGGG
rnacentral:lncRNA from 1 species